CCGCCCUCCUCGACGCAGGCUCCCAAAUUGACAACAAGAACGAGGACGAAGAGACGGCGCUGCACGUCGCCGCUGAGGAGGGCAAGAACAGGGUCGUGAUGGAGUUGAUUGGCCGGUAUCGCUACCUCAUAAACGAUCAGAACGAAGACUCGGAUACACCACUGCAUUUAGCCAGUCUCAAGGGCCACCAGGCUGUGGUCAAGACGCUGCUGGACGCGGGUGCUGAUGUUGAGGCGCGCAACACGUCCUUGUGGACGCCCCUGGACUGUGCCUCAUUUGAGGGACACACAGACUGCUGCCUUCUGCUCCUCG
rnacentral:lncRNA from 1 species